CUUGCAAACAAUGACAAAAAAUUGAUGAUGAAGACCUUGUUGUUAUAUUACUUAAUUCAUUGCCUGAAUCUUAUAGAGAAAUAAGGAAUGCCAUAAAAUACUCAAGGGAUGACUUAACUCAAUCUAUAGUAACAAAUGCUUUGAGAGCUAGAGAAUUAGAGAUCAAGAAAGAGUUUAGAUCUCACACGAGAUAGGAAACCAUGUUUGUGAGAGGGAGACCUGAAAAGAAAGACAACCAUACCCAGAAUAGAAAAUUCAGAUCUAAAUCCAGAGGUAGAUCCAAAUCUAGGGAUAAAAGUAAUAAAAAAUGCUAUCACUGUGGAAAACUUGGACACUUUAAAAGAGACUGUUUUGAAUUCAAGAAAAAACAAAAGGAUCAAAGUACUGUUGACUUGAAUAAUGCAUCUGUUACACAUGAUUUGGAUAGUCUUCUUGUAAUGACUGUGUCUAAUGAUGAUAGUGAUAAGGAUUGGAUCUUGGACUCUGGAUGUACAUUUCAUAUGAGCCCUAAUAGAUCUUGGUUUUAUAAUUACAAACCAAUUGAACCUAGGAAAGUGUACAUGAGAGAUAACAACUCACAAACAGCACAGGGGAUUGGUGACAUUGCUAUUAAAAUGCAUGAUGGCAUUGUGAGACAAUUGAAAAAUGUUAGGCAUGUCCCAAACCUAAAGAGAAACCUUAUCUCAUUAGGGGUCCUUGAAGAUGAAGGGUAUACCUUCAAGUCUAAUAAUAAUACACUCAAGGUGAUGAAAGGAUCACUAGUUGUGUUAAAGGGACCCAAGAGGAAUGGACUAUAUUAUCUUGCUGGAGAAACUAUUACUAACCAAGAUAAUAGUUCCUUGGCUGUGACAGAAAAUAGAUCUGAACUUUAGCAUAAUAGAAUGGGUCAUAUUGGUAACAAGGGCUUGAAGUAUCUAAGUAACCAAAAAUUACUUGGGAAAGAUAUAAUAGAACCUCUACAAUUUUGUGAGACUUGUGUGUUAGGCAAGUCCCACAAGGUGAGUUUCAAUGUAGGGUCUUACACCACAAAUAGACUUUUGGAUUAUGUACACUCUGAC
rnacentral:lncRNA from 1 species